GUCAAUCUUGUCCAGAAGUGGGCAAGGAGAAGUGUCUGUUUCUAGCUUCAUGCCAAUUUCUGACCUUAAUUACGUAAUUAGCCAUAUAAUUUACGCUGCCUGACAUUUUAGCUACAUUUCUUGAUAUAUUUCAUGAAUGCCAGCCAAAUGUUUUACUAAGAUCUAAUCUACGAGUGAACCAGCAUUGGUGUAUACAGCCAGUUAGCUCAUUUAGCCAGGAUAAUUGGUAGAAACAAAAAGCCUUCAUAUACACUGGCCCUCCAGGACCAGAAUUUCCCACCCUUUGUCAGUGAUCAGGUCAGUCACCCUGAUAUAGUCAGUCAGUCAUUUUUUUUUUUGUCAUUUUCUCCCAUUUUUCUCCCGAAUUUAGUCGUUAUACCAAUUCCCCAUGUGUUACAUUCCUGGUCGAUGCGCUAUCUUCUAUUGGUCUGGGGAGGGUGUAGACUACCACAUGCCUCCUCUGAUACAUGUGGAGUCGCCAGCCGCUUCUUUUCACCUGACAGCGAGGAGUUUCACUGGGAGAGCGUAACGCGUGCGGAGGUUCACGCUAUCUCCCCCAGAUCCCCUCCCUGCUGAACAGGCACCCCGACCAACCAGUAGGAGUCACAAAUGCAACGAUCAGGACUCAUACCCUCACCGGCUUCCCACCCGCAAACACUGCCAAUUGUGUUCGUAGGAAUGUCUGACCAAGCCGGAAGUACCGCUGCCGGGGAUUGAACCCGGGUCUCUGCAGUGAUACGGACAAUCCGAGACAGAGGGCAUCUGUUCAUUACGCAGAGUUGAGUCACGGUAACCAGAGUAACCAGGCAGAGACUCAGAACAUCAAACUGACCACUGUGUAUGAUGAGCUCCAGCUGUGC